CACGGACCAAACUCCUACGGGAGGCAGCAGUGAGGAAUAUUGGUCAAUGGGCGUAAGCCUGAACCAGCCAAGUCGCGUGAGGGAUGAAGGUUCUAUGGAUCGUAAACCUCUUUUAUAAGGGAAUAAAGUGCGGGACGUGUCCCGUUUUGUAUGUACCUUAUGAAUAAGGAUCGGCUAACUCCGUGCCAGCAGCCGCGGUAAUACGGAGGAUCCGAGCGUUAUCCGGAUUUAUUGGGUUUAAAGGGUGCGUAGGCGGCCUUUUAAGUCAGCGGUGAAAGUCUGUGGCUCAACCAUAGAAUUGCCGUUGAAACUGGGAGGCUUGAGUAUGUUUGAGGCAGGCGGAAUGCGUGGUGUAGCGGUGAAAUGCUUAGAUAUCACGCAGAACCCCGAUUGCGAAGGCAGCCUGCCAAGCCAUGACUGACGCUGAUGCACGAAAGCGUGGGGAUCAAACAGGAUUAGAUACCCUGGUAGUCCACGCAG
rnacentral:rRNA from 1 species